rnacentral:rRNA from 1 species
AUGUGUUGUUGGGUAGGGGAGCGUUCUGUAAGCCUGCGAAGGUGUGCUGUGAGGCAUGCUGGAGGUAUCAGAAGUGCGAAUGCUGACAUAAGUAACGAUAAAGCGGGUGAAAAGCCCGCUCGCCGGAAGACCAAGGGUUCCUGUCCAACGUUAAUCGGGGCAGGGUGAGUCGACCCCUAAGGCGAGGCCGAAAGGCGUAGUCGAUGGGAAACAGGUUAAUAUUCCUGUACUUGGUGUUACUGCGAAGGGGGGACGGAGAAGGCUAUGUUAGCCGGGCGACGGUUGUCCCGGUUUAAGCAUGUAGGCUGGUUGUCCAGGCAAAUCCGGAUAAUCAAGGCUGAGGUGUGAUGACGAGGCACUACGGUGCUGAAGUAACAAAUGCCCUGCUUCCAGGAAAAGCCUCUAAGCAUCAGGUAACAUCAAAUCGUACCCCAAACCGACACAGGUGGUCAGGUAGAGAAUACCAAGGCGCUUGAGAGAACUCGGGUGAAGGAACUAGGCAAAAUGGUGCCGUAACUUCGGGAGAAGGCACGCUGGUGUGUAGGUGAAGUCCCUGCGGAUGGAGCUGAGACCAGUCGAAGAUACCAGCUGGCUGCAACUGUUUAUUAAAAACACAGCACUGUGCAAACACGAAAGUGGACGUAUACGGUGUGACGCCUGCCCGGUGCCGGAAGGUUAAUUGAUGGGGUUAUCCGUAAGGAGAAGCUCUUGAUCGAAGCCCCGGUAAACGGCGGCCGUAACUAUAACGGUCCUAAGGUAGCGAAAUUCCUUGUCGGGUAAGUUCCGACCUGCACGAAUGGCGUAAUGAUGGCCAGGCUGUCUCCACCCGAGACUCAGUGAAAUUGAACUCGCUGUGAAGAUGCAGUGUACCCGCGGCAAGACGGAAAGACCCCGUGAACCUUUACUAUAGCUUGACACUGAACAUUGAGCCUUGAUGUGUAGGAUAGGUGGGAGGCUUUGAAGCGUGGACGCCAGUCUGCGUGGAGCCAACCUUGAAAUACCACCCUUUAAUGUUUGAUGUUCUAACGUUGGCCCCUGACCGGGGUUGCGGACAGUGUCUGGUGGGUAGUUUGACUGGGGCGGUCUCCUCCCAAAGCGUAACGGAGGAGCACGAAGGUUAGCUAAUCCUGGUCGGACAUCAGGAGGUUAGUGCAAUGGCAUAAGCUAGCUUGACUGCGAGCGUGACGGCGCGAGCAGGUGCGAAAGCAGGUCAUAGUGAUCCGGUGGUUCUGAAUGGAAGGGCCAUCGCUCAACGGAUAAAAGGUACUCCGGGGAUAACAGGCUGAUACCGCCCAAGAGUUCAUAUCGACGGCGGUGUUUGGCACCUCGAUGUCGGCUCAUCACAUCCUGGGGCUGAAGUAGGUCCCAAGGGUAUGGCUGUUCGCCAUUUAAAGUGGUACGCGAGCUGGGUUUAGAACGUCGUGAGACAGUUCGGUCCCUAUCUGCCGUGGGCGCUGGAGAAUUGAGGGGGGCUGCUCCUAGUACGAGAGGACCGGAGUGGACGCAUCACUGGUGUUCGGGUUGUCAUGCCAAUGGCACUGCCCGGUAGCUAAAUGCGGAAGAGAUAAGUGCUGAAAGCAUCUAAGCACGAAACUUGCCCCGAGAUGAGUUCUCCCUGAGACUUUAAGUCUCCUGAAGGAACGUU